GCGGACGACCGAGACGGAGAGAAGAAAACAGAGGUUUUGAAAUCAAAUUUUUCAAGGAUCAUAACUCGAGCUAGAGUUAAUGAAAUUCAUCUGUUCCAAAACCAAAGUUGAAGUGUGCAACCUGAGGAACACAUCUACGGUGUGCCUAGGGACUGUGAACGUUUGGACUCUCGAGAGCAAGAUAAGUAGUUUGUUCUACAAGUAAUCGAAUUGGUAAAGCUUCAAGAGGAGUGAGCCCAGUGGUAUGAAGAAUUCUCUAUAAACCUGUAGCUUAUUGAGAUUUGUUAUCUCACCCCUUCUUGAGGACAUAAUUUCAGGUUCUCAGAUUCCCGGUGAGCCCUCACGAGGUAGGGACACAACCCGUGGGUAGAGGUGCUACGACGGAUCAACUUUUUGAGUAGUUGUAGGCUACUGCUAUUUUGGAGUAUAUUCUGGUUAUUUUGUAUUCCAUUCUUUUUGGUGGAUCAUGAUGUCUGAUCCGAUACUUGUAUAUGGUCUGUAUAUGUUUUGUACAUGUUUCCGUUUUGAUGCACGUACAAUUGUGUAUUCAGGCAUG